CGUCUUACCUGGUAGUCUUAGG
rnacentral:miRNA from 10 species